AUGCCUGCCUGCAGGGUCAGCAUGCCCUUCCCGGCAGAUCACCCCCUUCCCCUCCCGCCCCCAGAUACCUUAACGAGACCGACAGAAAAGUGGUUCUGCUUUGGUUUCCGAGUGGACGAGCUUCUCCGGGCAGCCGGACUGAGUCCUGACACCCAGCCGAGCAGCCCUGCUCCAACGAGAAACUACUUGUUGGCGUUUUCCGGGUUCAGGUGGUUGGGCCGCUCCUCCGGGCGCUGGGGUCGGGAGUGGGCACCGCGGCUGGCCGUGGCCGCGGCGGAGCUGACCGCAGGUCGGGAGAGCUCGCCCACUUGCUGGGGAAGUCCCCCGGCUCCGACCUGGACCUGCAGGUUUUGUUUCUCCCCCGCAAGCAGCCGCCGCCAGAGCGGUCCCUUCCGCACCACUCGCCGUCAACCACCAGCGCCAGAGCACAGAGCUCGGGAAAGGGUGGGUGGGUGGGUGGGUCUGGGGAAGCUCUCUUGUACCAACCAGGUUCAUAUAUUUUUCCUCCGUGAAGCUCUAUCCCCACCCUCUCUGGAGCUUCUGCCUGCCUUAUUUACACCCCACGCUCCACACCCUUUCUCUUCCCACUGCCCCACCCCUCCCAACAAGUGACAGAGCAUCUCUAAGACCAAUUCCAUUUUUUUUUUUUUCCUUAAUGACAGCUGAGAGGAGAGAGAGGUCUACUUACAGGUGACAAGUGAGUCUUGUUUCUCGAGUCUUACACAUGGCUCUGGCUUGCUCUUUCCAGUCAAAUGUAGGUCUCCAGUCACCACAUCAUGGUUACAUAAAACAAAACAAGUUUAAAAAGUUUAUUCCAGGAACAUAAUGCUCUAGCAAGUGAAAAUUCAGGGUUCUCUAUCAGAAGCUACAGAGGCGAGCUACAGAUAUCCAAGUACCAAAGGAAUUAUCUAAUUGCUCAAUUCCUCUCUCAAAUUUUAUUGGGCCUUGUAUAGUUUGCUAGGGCUGCCAUAACAAAGUACCACAAACUGGACUGUUUAAACAGUAGAAAUAUUACAAGCGCUGGAGGUAGAAGGUAGAAAUUAAGGUGUGGCCUAGGUUGGUUCUUUCUGAGGGCUCUGAGGAUUGGACUUAUUCCAGGCCUCUCUCUUUGGUUUGCAGAUGGCCAUCUUAUCCCUGUGUCUCUUCACAUCAUUCUCCCUUUUAUGCAAGUCUGAGUCUGUCCAAAUAUCCCUUGUAUAUAAUAACACUUGUCAUAAUGCAAUAGGGCCCACCUUAAUGGCUUCAUCAUUAAAGACCUAUCUCUAAAAUAAGAUCACAUUCUCAAGUACUGGAAACUAGGACUCCAACAUCUAUCUUUCUUUCUUUCUUUCUUUCCCUUUUUCUUUCUUUCCUUCUUUCUUUCUUCUUUCUUUCUUUCUUUCUUUCUUUCUUUCUUUCUUUCUUUCUUUCUUUCUUUCUUUCUUUCUUUCUGAAGGGGUAGUGCUGGGAUACAAUUCAACAGAUAUUAGUUCAUACCACCAGAGUGUGUGUUUCUGUGUCGGUGUGUAUAUUGAGAGAGAGAGACUCUAUUCCACAGGUAUAGCUUAAAAGUAUUGAAGGCCAUGGAGUAGGUAAAACACUGGGUUGUACGUAGGAGGAAGUCUCUCUCAAAAAACAGAUACUGAUAUUGACACUGUGAUUUGGAAAGUAUAAGAGUUACGAGUUACUAAUAAAAAAGUUUUCACAAUAUACA
ensembl:lncRNA